ACUCCUACGGGAGGCAGCAGUGGGGAAUAUUGCACAAUGGGCGCAAGCCUGAUGCAGCCAUGCCGCGUGUGUGAAGAAGGCCUUCGGGUUGUAAAGCACUUUCAGUCGUGAGGAAGGUAGUGUAGUUAAUAGCUGCAUUAUUUGACGUUAGCGACAGAAGAAGCACCGGCUAACUCCGUGCCAGCAGCCGCGGUAAUACGGAGGUGCGAGCGUUAAUCGGAAUUACUGGGCGUAAAGCGCAUGCAGGUGGUUGUUAAGUCAGAUGUGAAAGCCCGGGGCUCAACCUCGGAAUAGCAUUUGAAACUGGCAGACUAGAGUACUGUAGAGGGGGUAGAAUUUCAGGUGUAGCGGUGAAAUGCGUAGAGAUCUGAAGGAAUACCGGUGGCGAAGGCGGCCCCUGGACAGAUACUGACACUCAGAUGCGAAAGCGUGGGAGCAAACAGGAUUAGAUACCCCUGGUAGCGACUGA
rnacentral:rRNA from 1 species